rnacentral:rRNA from 1 species
AGUGAACGCUGGCGGUAUGCCUAAUACAUGCAAGUCGAACGACAGGACAGGAAGAUUGUUCUCUUACGGGUGGCGACGGGCGGACGGGUGAGGAAUACAUAGCCAUCUACUUUGUCUGGGAUGAUAACGGAGGGAAGGUGACGCUAAUAGCGCAUACGAUCUACGGGUGAAUGCAGUGGUGCUUGGCAGUUUUGGCGAUUCAUUUAGCCGAUGUCGGAUUAGCUAGUUGGGGUGGUAACGGCCCACCAAGGCAACGAUCCGUAGCGGGUCUGAGAGGAUGAUCAGCCACACUGGAACUGAGACACGGUCCAGACUCCUACGGGAGGCAGCAGUGGGGAAUAUUGCACAAUGGGCGAAAGCCUGAUCCAGCAAUACCGCGUGGGUGAAGAAGGCCUUCGGGUUGUAAAGCUCUUUUGUUGGGAAAGAAAAAAUGUAGAAUAAUCCACCGCCGUUUUGACGGUACCCAAACAAUAAGCAACGGCUAACUUCGUG